AUUUCGAGCAGACGAUGAGCUUUGCUUUUAGAUUGGGUUCUUCAAUCGGGUGUUUUCCUCGUACGAUCUUAGGUCGUAACAUAAUUCAAAGGAAAAGUCAUGUGGUAUCUUACCGUAAUGGCCCCCCUCCCCAUU
rnacentral:sRNA from 1 species